rnacentral:rRNA from 1 species
CUGGAGGUAUCAGAAGUGCGAAUGCUGACAUAAGUAACGAUAAAGCGGGUGAAAAGCCCGCUCGCCGGAAGACCAAGGGUUCCUGUCCAACGUUAAUCGGGGCAGGGUGAGUCGACCCCUAAGGCGAGGCCGAAAGGCGUAGUCGAUGGGAAACGGGUUAAUAUUCCCGUACUUGGUGUUACUGCGAAGGGGGGACGGAGAAGGCUAUGUUGGCCGGGCGACGGUUGUCCCGGUUUAAGCGUGUAGGUGUGUGUUCCAGGUAAAUCCGGUUCACUUUAACACUGAGGCGUGAUGACGAGGCACUACGGUGCUGAAGCAACAAAUGCCCUGCUUCCAGGAAAAGC